CCUACGGGCGGCAGCAGUGAGGAAUAUUGGUCAAUGGGCGCUAGCCUGAACCAGCCAAGUAGCGUGAAGGAUGACUGCCCUAUGGGUUGUAAACUUCUUUUAUAUGGGAAUAAAGUGCAGUAUGUAUACUGCUUUGCAUGUACCUUAUGAAUAAGGAUCGGCUAACUCCGUGCCAGCAGCCGCGGUAAUACGGAGGAUCCGAGCGUUAUCCGGAUUUAUUGGGUUUAAAGGGAGCGUAGGCGGGUUGUUAAGUCAGUUGUGAAAGUUUGCGGCUCAACCGUAAAAUUGCAGUUGAUACUGGCAUCGUGGAGUACAGUAGAGGUAGGCGGAAUUCGUGGUGUAGCGGGGAAAUGCUUAGAUAUCACGAAGAACUCCGAUUGCGAGGGCAGCCUGAUGGACUGUAACUGACGCUGAUGCUCGAAAGUGUGGGUAUAAAACAGGAUUAGAUACCCGUGUAGUC
rnacentral:rRNA from 1 species